AUGCAAAGCAAAAUGCGAUCUGCCUCAACACCCCUGCUCUACCUUUGUGUCCUUGUCAUGCCAUCAUGUCUCCUUCUCUUGCAACGAGCGCAUGCAGCAGCGCGUCAUGGUGGCAUAUCACUCAUGUCUCAACAGAAGGCCCUCCUCCACUGGAAAUCAACACUCGCAAACCCAGCAGCGGAGAUGAGCUCCUGGCGGGACACCACCAGCACCAGCAGCAGCCCGUGCAACUGGACGGGGAUCAUGUGCACGGCUGUUCGCCAUGGCCGCAGCAUGCCCUGGGUCGUGACCAGCAUCUCCCUGCCAGAUGCUGGCAUCCAUGGCAAGCUUGGUGAGCUCAACUUCACAGCUCUCCCAUUCCUCACAUAUAUCGAUCUAGGCAACAAUAGUCUCCAUGGUCCAAUACCGCCUAAUAUCAGCUCGCUAUCAUCCCUCUCGACCCUUGACCUUAGCAUCAAUCAGCUCAGAGGCCACAUACCACACGAGAUCGGCGAACUGGCUAGCCUCACCAUACUUGACAUCUCCUUCAAUAACCUAACAGGACAUGUCCCUGCGUCCCUAGGCAACCUGACGAUGUUGAUUUAUCUUGUAAUCCACCAAACCAUGGUCUCAGGUCCCAUUCCAAACGAGUUAGAAAGGCUUGUCAGCCUGCAGGGUUUACAGCUAAGCAACAGCGCUUAA
rnacentral:rRNA from 1 species